rnacentral:lncRNA from 1 species
AAUUCUUCAUCUGUAAUUUGUUAUUCUCUUUUCUGAAAGGCAAGAAAAUAAAAAAGAUGUGGGCAAACUCCAUAUCUGACAUAUAUUGAUAUAGUUUAUAGGAUUUUUUUUCAGUCUCCUAGUAAUCAAGUGCACUAUUUAUAUUCCUCAUCUUUUUUAUUUGAUUAUCAAAAUAGUUGUGAGAAUCAAAUUAACUGUACCAUAUCCAAUUCUAUCAUCACAUUCAACAUAUUCAGAGGUUAUUUCUUUGUAGAAUAAAUAUAACAAAGUAAGUUCUAAAAAUAUCUCAAUUGUUUUACAAGGAUUAUUUUUAACAUAAAUUUUCUAUAUAUUUCACAGCCAAAAAUAUAUUAUUAAAGGUAAAAUAUUUCCUAAUAUUUCAUCAAAUUAUGCUAUUUUCUAAUUGUGAAGUAGCCCUUGCAUAUCCACUGUUAAUAGUAUAGUCAUUUUUGUUUACAUAGGUCUUCAUAAAAAAUGAAAGUACAUAAUCACUGACAAUGAUCUUUAUAAGAUAUUCUGUUUGCCUUACACUUUAGAGCAACAGAAAAAAAUUAGAAUUAGUGUGGCCAUUCCAUAAUAGGAGAAUUAUUAUUUUCUCUAAAAUAAUAAUCAACAGAAUAUUUUAGCAGGAAAAAAUACAAUUACCUUAAUCUCAAGUGUUUCAAGUAAUUGCCUGUGCCUUGUCCAAAUGAAGAAGGAUAUAAAUCACUUGAUUUUAUUGGGUUUUCAGAGUUUUAUUCUACCCUAAGGCAGAGUCUAGGCAACAAAUAUAUCUAGCCUAAAAUAGAUUGAAGUGAAUUAUCUAAGAAAAAUAAUAUCUAAAAUGAUGCAUGAUAAGAACUUAAGAGUUAUAGAUAUGGUUUCUAUCAUCUCAAAAGAAUAAAUGUCAGGGUGCUAUUUUUAUUAUUAGCAAAAGAAACUGUGUGACUUCUCUUAAGGAAUUAUGUUUAUUACCAGAAAUUUUAACCAAAGAACAUCAGCUAGAAGACAUAAAUCCCACAUACCCAGCAUGUUAUAGAGGAAAAGUGGGUCUUGAAAUAGACAAAUACAGAUUUGAAUCUCAGUCUCACUCCUCUGAUACUGAACAUUUUGUAGAUUCAGAUACCCUGUAUAGAAUAUGGGGAUCACAAUUCCCUCAGCAUAUAAGGAUUAAAUUACAUUAUAUUUGUUUUAAGUAUACCUACAUUUCAGUACCUGAAUUCAACCACAAGGAAGCAAGAGGUUUUUCAAUAAAUACUAAUUUCCUCUACAAAUUAAGGGAAAUGAAUUUAUAAAAUAUGUCGAACAAGAGCAUAGUAAUAUUUGUGAAAGUACUUUACAAAAUAUAUAAGCUUAAUAGAAUGUAAGAUAAAGUCUUAAAUUUGAAAAAGUUUCGAUUGCAUAGACAAAUGUCUACAUAUAAAUACACAAAAUAAGCAUUAAAUAAGUAUUUCGUCUUACUCGUUUCUAUUACAGCUACACAUAGAGGCUCCCAUAAAGUUAUUACAACAGAUUUUAUUUAAAAAUCAGUAGAAUUCUUCAUAUCAACUAAAAACAAAUGGUAACAAUUCCCUAAAUUAAUUGAAGAGUAGAAUAUAAAUGAUCAUACAAAGAUAUGUAAUUAAUACUGGUUUAUUAAUUGAUAAUAUGAAAAUUCUUAUUACAGGCACAAGAAGAUGUUUAUGAACACUUAAGGAAAAUUUUUUUUUUUUUUUUACAUGGAGUCUCGCUCUGUCGCCCAUGCUGGAGUGCAAUGGCGUGAUCUUGGCUCACUGCAACCUCCGCCUCCUGGGUUCAAGCGAUUCUCCUGCUUCAGCCUCCCGAGUAACUGGGAUCACAGGCGCCUGCCA